rnacentral:rRNA from 2 species
GACGAACGCUGGCGGCGUGCCUAACACAUGCAAGUCGAGCGGGGUUGAAGCGAGAGGUAACUCGAACUUCUACCUAGCGGCGGACGGGUGAGUAACGCGUGGGCAACCUGCCUCAAGGUUUGGGAUAACAGCCCGAAAGGGCUGCUAAUACCGGAUAUGCCUAUGGCCUCGCAUGGGGCUAUGAGCAAAGGGGAAACCCGCCUUGAGAUGGGCCCGCGUCCCAUCAGCUAGUUGGUGAGGUAACAGCUCACCAAGGCGACGACGGGUAGCCGGCCUGAGAGGGUGACCGGCCACACUGGGACUGAGACACGGCCCAGACUCCUACGGGGGGCAGCAGUGGGGGAUCUUGCACAAUGGGCGAAAGCCUGAUGCAGCGACGCCGCGUGAGCGAAGAAGGCCUUCGGGUUGUAAAGCUCUGUCUGGAGGGACGAACAAAAUGACGGUACCUCCGGAGGAAGCCACGGCUAACUACGUG